AGACCCGAAACCCGGUGAUCUAGCCAUGGGCAGGUUGAAGGUUGGGUAACACUAACUGGAGGACCGAACCGACUAAUGUUGAAAAAUUAGCGGAUGACCUGUGGCUGGGGGUGAAAGGCCAAUCAAACCGGGAGAUAGCUGGUUCUCCCCGAAAGCUAUUUAGGUAGCGCCUCGUGAAUUCAUCUCCGGGGGUAGAGCACUGUUUCGGCUAGGGGGCCAUCCCGGCUUACCAACCCGAUGCAAACUGCGAAUACCGGAGAAUGUUAUCACGGGAGACACACGG
rnacentral:rRNA from 2 species